rnacentral:tRNA from 1 species
GCUGGCUCAGUCAGUAGAGCAUGUGACUCCUGAUCAUAGGGCUGUGAGUUUGACCCCCACAUGUGGCA